GAGUAACACGUAGGUGAUCUAUCCCUGGGUGGGGUAUAGGCCCAUGGAAAACAUGGGGUAAUACCGCAUGAGGUCCCGGGGCGGGAGCUCUGGGAUGAAAGGCCGCAAUUGUGGUGCCUGGGGAUGAGCCUGCGGCUCAUUAGCUAGUUGGUGAGGUAAGGGCCCACCAAGGCGACGAUGGGUAGCCGGCCUGAGAGGGUGUACGGCCACACUUGGGACUGAGACACGGCCCAGACUCCUACGGGAGGCAGCAGCUAAGAAUCUUCCGCAAUGGGGGAAACCCUGACGGAGCGACGCCGCGUGGACGAAGAAGGCCGCAAGGUUGUAAAGUCCUUUUGCAGACGAAGAAUAAGGGGGGGAGUGGAAAGCCCUUCUGAUGACGUUAGUCUGCGAAUAAGCCCCGGCCAAUUACGUGCCAGCAGCCGCGGUAACACGUAUGGGGCAAGCGUUGUUCGGAAUCACUGGGCGUAAAGGGCGUCUAGGCGGUUCGGUAAGUCGUUUGUGAAAUCCCUUGGCUCAACCAAGGAAAGUCUUGCGAUACUGCCGGGCUUGGGUGCAGGAGAGGAGAGUGGAACUCACAGAGUAGCGGUGGAAUGCGUAGAUACUGUGAGGUACCCCGAUGGCGAAGGCAACUCUCUGGCCUGUUACCGACGCUGAAGCGCGAAAGCGUGGGGAGCAAAAGGGAUUAGAUACCCCCGUAGUCCACGCCCUAAACAAUGUUCACUUGGUGUCGGCCGCUCAUUACUGGUCGGUGCCGAAGCUAACGCGUUAAGUGAACCGCCUGAGGAGUACGGCCGCAAGGCUAAAACUCAAGAGAAUUGACGGGUCCCCGCACAAGCGGUGGAGCACGUGGUUUAAUUCGAUGAUAAACGAAGAACCUCACCCAGGCUUGACAUACUAGUGGUAGGAACCUGAAAGGGGGACGACCCUGCCUUCGGGUAGGGAGCUAGUACAGGUGAUGCAUGGCUGUCGUCAGCUCGUGUCGUGGGAUGUUGGGUUCAGUCCCGAAACGAGCGCAACCCUUGUCGUUAGUUGCCAGCGGGUAAUGCCGGGGACUACUAACGAGACUGCUGGUGAAUAGCCGGAGGAAGGCGGGGAUGACGUCAAGUCAUCAUGUCCCUUACGCCUGGGGCGACACACAUGCUACAAUGGGGGGUACAAAGGGCUGCAAUCCCGUAAGGGGGAGCCAAUCCACAAAAACCCCUCUCAGUUCGGAUUGAGGUCA
rnacentral:rRNA from 1 species